rnacentral:misc_RNA from 1 species
GAAAUGCGAUAAGUAAUGUGAAUUGCAGAAUUCCGUGAAUCAUCGAAUCUUUGAACGCACAUUGCGCCCUCUGGUAUUCCGGGGGGCAUGCCUGUCCGAGCGUCAUUGCGAACCCCUCAAGCACGGCUUGUGUGAUGGGCCCUCCCGCGUCUUGGUCGUCAAGAUGAGCCCGAAAAGCAGUGGCGGCUUCGCGGUUAUCCGAUCAGCCAGAGCGUAUGGGGACUUUCUCUCUGUCACACGCCCGCGGCGCGGACCGACGCCUGUCGACCUUUAUUCAUCUUUUUCUCGGUUGACCUCGGAUCAGGUAGGGAUACCCGCUGAACUUAAGC